CAGCAGCCGCGGGAAUACAGAGGUCUCAAGCGUUGUUCGGAUUCAUUGGGCGUAAAGGAUGCGUAGGUGGCGGUGUAAGUCUAACGUGAAAUCUCGGGGCUCAACCUCGAAAUUGCGUCGGAUACUGCAUUGCUAGAGGAUUGUAGAGGAGGGUGGAAUUCAUGGUGUAGCAGUGAAAUGCGUAGAUAUCAUGAGGAAGACCAGUUGCGAAGGCGACUCUCUGGGCAAUUCCUGACACUGAGGCACGAAGGCUAGGGGAGCAAACGGGAUUAGAUACCCGAGUAGUCCCUGUCUCUUUACA
rnacentral:rRNA from 1 species